AGAGCUCUUAUUCAGUGUGUAAAAACAUUCAGUUCGAUUCGGUCGUUCAUCUCAUCUCGUGCUGCUUUAAAAAAUCCAAAUUAUGACAAAAAAUUUAAGUCAAUCAUUUAGUUCUUAGUACCGCGAGGAUCUCCUGUAAUUGUACCUUCCGUGCGGGCGAAAGCGGAAACUCUGAUGUGUGGAAUGCUGCAAACCGAAAAGGAGCCACAAGGAUCGGAUUCCAAAUUUCACCUAGACUACAAUGCAGAAUGACAGGAAAUACCGACGGAGAAGUGGCCGAAAACGGAAAAGGUUCCGUAUCGGCGCCAUAGCGUAAAGUAUCCUUCAGAUGGGAUCCAGGGAAAGGAGCCAAGCGAUUGCAGUUUUUUUUUGAUGUGAUAAAUCAACUUUUGGCCAGGAUAAAUAGUCGCCAUCUGAAAAACUGCAGUCUACAAGGUGAUUCUUCCGCAUUAUAAAGAUGGGGAAGAAACAUUUUAGUAUUCUAUGUUCAGUAAAAGGGCGGCAAGAUUAAAGGAUGGCGAGAAAUACUAAACUCAAACCAAGGACAUCAAAAGGCAGACCAAGAGAUAUUUCGCGCCCUGUCGCCGAAGCGUCAUUGUCUUCGCUUUCGCCGACACGUUGGUCACAAUAACAAGAUGUCCUCGCUGUACUACGGGAAAGCAAAUUCUCCAUCGAAUUCGGCGAAUGCGGUGUACAUUUUGUUCUUGCUGAAUUUUGUCAUAUACAUAUAACUUUUUGAAUGGCAGCACGAGAUGGAAAGAAACUUGGGCAAUGUUUACAUAUAUUGCCCCCAAAAUUUAUAAUGUUAAAAAUAAAUAUUUGAAAACGUCAAAA